rnacentral:lncRNA from 1 species
CAGCUCACGUAGCGCCCCAGCAGGAUGUAAGUGAAACAAACAUGUACCAAACUUUGAUGAAGCAAAGAGCAUCCAGUGUGGAGGAGUCAUCAUGUCUCUGUCGGUGCUGUUUGGUGCUCUGAGGACCAGAGAGCUGCGAGAGCUGCUGGAAGAUGAAGACAAAAUAAAUCACUUCGUCAGGUGCAGUGUCAAGUUUCAGGGGCUGCAGAGCGAUGCAGAGAAGAUGCUGGUUUCAAAUAAAACAUUAGCCAAACUCGGUCUUUCUCAAAAACCUAAAUUUAGAGAUGCUAAAUUGCUCCUUGCAGUGAAGUACAAGGAACUGGAAAACAUAAGAAGCAUCAUCCAGGCCAAACAAGAACAACUUGCAGAAAAAUUCAGUGUUCAUCGUGCACAGUGGAGUCUCCUAAAGAAGAUAAAUAAUGCAGAGGAGGAGUGUGAGGUGCUGUUUCAGAGGUUUGCAGAGGGGAAGACUCCACUGGCAGAUUUCCUGGCUUUCUUUCUCGGCUCGCAGAAACUCCAACACAUCAGGAUGGUCCUGGUGAAGAAAAUGCAGAAAAUGAUUGAAUUUGAAUCAACACAAAGGCUUUGUGAGAUUCCCCCUGACACUCAUAACGCCUGCCUCCCAGUCUGCAGUCUAACCACAGCUGUCGUCUUACCUGCCUGCUGCCACCCUCCAUUCCUGCUGCCCUGCGGUGUCCACGUGAACACUGCUCACUGUUUACAGCAUUUACCAUUUUGUCAUGAUUACAAUGAGUCCCUACGUCCAGCAGUGUACGGACGAGGCCACAAAUGGUCAGCAAGACCCGUCCGUCUCCAGCCUCUGAAGGUGCAGCAGAGGAGGCAUCAACAUGCUCCACAAUAAAGUCUAAUCCAGCCUCAGAUACAUGUUUACAUUUCAUUAAAGUUAACAAAGUGGAAGUAGUUUCUGGGUAAAGUUGCCUUUGCA